UGCAAGUCGAACGAUGAUGCCCAGCUUGCUGGGCGGAUUAGUGGCGAACGGGUGAGUAAUACGUGAGUAACCUGCCCUUGACUCUGGGAUAAGCCUGGGAAACUGGGUCUAAUACUGGAUACUACCUCUUACCGCAUGGUGGGUGGUGGAAAGGGUUUUACUGGUUUUGGAUGGGCUCACGGCCUAUCAGCUUGUUGGUGGGGUAAUGGCUCACCAAGGCGACGACGGGUAGCCGGCCUGAGAGGGUGACCGGCCACACUGGGACUGAGACACGGCCCAGACUCCUACGGGAGGCAGCAGUGGGGAAUAUUGCACAAUGGGCGGAAGCCUGAUGCAGCGACGCCGCGUGAGGGAUGACGGCCUUCGGGUUGUAAACCUCUUUCAGUAGGGAAGAAGCGAGAGUGACGGUACCUGCAGAAGAAGCGCCGGCUAACUACGUGCCAGCAGCCGCGGUAAUACGUAGGGCGCAAGCGUUGUCCGGAAUUAUUGGGCGUAAAGAGCUCGUAGGCGGUUUGUCGCGUCUGCUGUGAAAGCCCGGGGCUCAACCCCGGGUCUGCAGUGGGUACGGGCAGACUAGAGUGCAGUAGGGGAGACUGGAAUUCCUGGUGUAGCGGUGAAAUGCGCAGAUAUCAGGAGGAACACCGAUGGCGAAGGCAGGUCUCUGGGCUGUUACUGACGCUGAGGAGCGAAAGCAUGGGGAGCGAACAGGAUUAGAUACCCUGGUAGUCCAUGCCGUAAACGUUGGGCACUAGGUGUGG
rnacentral:rRNA from 1 species